GGUUGAUCCUGCCAGUAGUCAUAUGCUUGUUUCAAAGAUUAAGCCAUGCAUGUCUGAGUAUGAGUUUUUACACGACAAAACUGUGAAUAGCUCAUUAGAAUAGUUUUUGUUUAUUUGUUGUAGUUUCUUACAUGGAUAACUAUGGUAAUUCUGAGGCUAAUACAUGCACUUUAUCUGACUUGUCGGGUUAGCAUAUACUAGUAUUAGAACUAAUCCAUCUCUGAUGGUUAGCUGUUGAAUCAUAGUAUUUUAGGUGAUCAUUUUAUGACAAAACAUUCGAGAUUCUAACCUAU
rnacentral:rRNA from 1 species